rnacentral:rRNA from 1 species
GACGAACGCUGGCGGCGUGCUUAACACAUGCAAGUCGAACGGAAAGGCCCUGCUUUUGUGGGGUGCUCGAGUGGCGAACGGGUGAGUAACACGUGAGUAACCUGCCCUUGACUUUGGGAUAACUUCAGGAAACUGGGGCUAAUACCGGAUAGGAGCUCCCGCUGCAUGGUGGGGGUUGGAAAGUUUCGGCGGUUGGGGAUGGACUCGCGGCUUAUCAGCUUGUUGGUGGGGUAGUGGCUUACCAAGGCUUUGACGGGUAGCCGGCCUGAGAGGGUGACCGGCCACAUUGGGACUGCGAUACGGCCCAGACUCCUACGGGAGGCAGCGGUGGGGAAUAUUGCACAAUGGGCGGAAGCCUGAUGCAGCAGCGCCGCGUGCGGGAUGACGGCCUUCGGGUUGUAAACCGCUUUCGCCUGUGACGAAGCGUGAGUGACGGUAAUGGGUAAAGAAGCACCGGCUAACUACGUG